GUAAGGAAUAUUGGUCAAUGGACGAAAGUCUGAACCAGCCAUGCCGCGUGAAGGAUGAAGGCCCUCUGGGUUGUAAACUUCUUUUAUCUGGGACGAAAAAAGGGUAUUCUUACUCACUUGACGGUACCAGAGGAAUAAGCACCGGCUAACUCCGUGCCAGCAGCCGCGGUAAUACGGAGGGUGCAAGCGUUAUCCGGAUUCACUGGGUUUAAAGGGUGCGUAGGUGGGUAUUUAAGUCAGUGGUGAAAUCUCCGAGCUUAACUCGGAAACUGCCAUUGAUACUAUUUACCUUGAAUGCCCUGGAGGUAAGCGGAAUAUGUCAUGUAGCGGUGAAAUGCUUAGAUAUCACGAAGAACUCCAAUUGCGAAGGCAGCUCACUGGGGUACAACUGACACUGAGGCUCGAAAGUGUGGGUAUCAAACAGGAUUAGAUACCCGUGUAGUCC
rnacentral:rRNA from 1 species